rnacentral:rRNA from 1 species
CAGGUCUGUGAUGCCCUUAGAUGUCCUGGGCUGCACGCGCGCUACACUGACACGAUCAACAAGUUUUCCUCUCCCGAAAGGGCUGGGUAACCUUCUGAAAUCGUGUCGUGAUGGGGAUAGAUCAUUGCAAUUAUUGAUCUUCAACGAGGAAUUCCUAGUAAGUGCAAUUCAUCAGAUUGCGCUGAUUACGUCCCUGCCCUUUGUACACACCGCCCGU